rnacentral:rRNA from 1 species
AUGUUCCACUGGCAGGCCACUAUCAUGGGACCCUCACAGCCCUUUACUGCUGGUCUAUUUUUGGUGAACAUCCAUUUCCCACUGGAUUAUCCCUUCAAGCCCCCGAAGGUCUCUUUCCGCACCAAGGUGUUCCACCCAAACAGCAACAGCAACGGCAGCAUUUGCCUUGACAUUCUCAAGGAAUAGUGGAGCCCGGCUUUGACCAUAUCAAAGGUCCUCCUGUCAAUUUGUUCGUUGCUUACGGACCCCAACCCCAAUGAUCCUCUGGUGCCUGAGAUUGCUCACAUGUACAAGACUGAUUGGGCCAAGUAUGAGUCCACGGCACGCUCCUGGACACAGAAGUACGCCAUGGGUUGA